AGCUACCUCUGUCUUUUCCCUGCUCGCACUCAUUUCUACCUCAUUUUAAAUUGAUUGUGCUGAAGUCAAUUUUGUUUAUUUAAGUUCUGUAAUUUGUUCAGUUAGUCUUGAUUUUUUAUUUUUUUGUUAGAGGAGUUAGUCUUGAUUUAGAUGACUCAUAAAAUAGACUAUUUUAGAAAAUGACCUGUGAUUACAUGUCUUUUUGCAUUUGCAUGGUCCCAGGAAUCAUAGGCGUCCAGUUGACUGCAAAAUUUUUACAGUUCCUCUUGGGGCCAAAAUUAGCAGAUCAAUUGAACACUGAGAAUGUCUUCUUUCUUUUUUUUUUUUGAAAGGGAAUGUCUUCUUUCUAAUUGGUUAGAAUACACACUCACCUCUGUUCUCAAACUUUCGCCUUUCUGAGCUGUUUCAGUAAAUCUUAUAGGCUUAUCUUACCCAAAGAUGGCAACUUUAGCAACAUAAUAUACCUUUCAGGACUGUAUAUCCCUGACGGCUUUACUUAAACAAAAGUUGUGAAUUGGAAGGAGAACGGUAGACUCAUAAUAACUGUAACCUUUUAUGGUUUUUAGUAUUAUCAGUUUUGUUAAUAAAAAGACAGAGAAGCUAAACACUUUAAAGCGAAUUUUAAAGAAGGCAACUCAUGAUCAGUACUAACUUCUGAGCCUUCAGUCCCUCGACCCCAUGUAAUCAAUUGUCUAUGGUACUGUUAAAUUUCUCUUUCAGAUUAUGCAACCAAUUUUCUUGCCCAAAUUCUCUGGUCACUUGGUUAAACUUUUUCACAGGCUAGUACUCUCAUACUGAGUCGAUGGAGCUGCAAGGAACUGAAUUCCAUGAACAAAGAAAAAGCAUCACUCGAAAAAUUGUAAGUAUUUUGGGCUGUUUCUAUCAAGCACAAGAUCUCCUAAGGAUACUACGAGACUUGAGUACCGAAGAAUUGAGGAAAGCGUUUCUCUCCUACUUUCCCAGUGGCCCUAGGAGAAUGAAGGAUCAAGCAAUAAAGCGCAAAUCAAGCUCACUGAUCUCAAAUUAAGGCAGUUGGCAUAUCAUAUCAUUUUGUAUGUGAUUUAUGCUUAUCUUGUGGAUCUAAACAGUUAUGCAAUCUUAUCGGUAUUUUUGGAAAUGUUUCAAAAUCUUAUCUGCAUUCAAAGGGGUUUGGAAUGCAUAUCAGUUAAGAGAUUUUCAUUGCAUAUAGUUAGUAAAGAUUGUUUGAGUUUUUGAUUUCGAGAAUUUGAUGUGUGUUGCAUAGUCUUCAUAAUUAAAACUGUUUUACAAAACUCUCUUUGAUUGUUCACGUUGCUUGCUCACUGCAUCCAUUACUUACAUAUCACUUGAGAUCAGUGAGACUCUGAGAGAAGAAGAAGUGGAAGACUUGUUCAGUAUCUUUAAUCAACAUAGAUUGAUCCAUACUGUGUGUAGAAUAGGUCUUUCAAAUUGUGUACAAGUUAGCAUUGUUGCUAGCGAAGUGGUUGUGUUGAAUACCACUACUUGUGAGUUGUACUUACCUGAAUUCAUAUUGGAUUUGAUCUUCGUGUUGGCUACGUUACAAGCCACGUAGUGAAGUUUCCUCAGUGGUGGGGUUUACACUGCAUCACCAAAUCCUUGUGUACUUUUGUACUUGUGAACUCUCUCUACUAAGCUGCUUAUAUUGCACACAAUCUUUCAUAGUUGUUCCAUCUGGUAUUUUCAAAAAUGAUGAAUAGUGAUAUUGUAAUGUUUGGUCCUUUUUUUGCCAUUUCUUUAUUGUUCCGUUUGGCCUUGACAUUAUGUAUUUUUGAAACCAAAAUUUAGUAGUUAGCUAUUGAAGGUUUUUCACUUAACUAAAAUAAUAUGGUAAUAUCUUGAACAUGCCUAUGAAAGUCAGGAUGUAUGUUUUGGAAGCCUAGUGAGUACUAAGACAACCAUAUUUAUUUGCAAAUGGAGGCUGAUAUAUAUAGUUAUCACGAAGUUGGAAUGAAUUUUUUUUUGUUUUAGUUACAUUAAAGUAAGAGGAAGGUUCUGCAGAGAGAAAGAA